GACGAACGCUGGCGGCGUGCUUAACACAUGCAAGUCGAACGGAAAGGCCCUGCUUUUGUGGGGUGCUCGAGUGGCGAACGGGUGAGUAACACGUGAGUAACCUGCCCUUGACUUUGGGAUAACUUCAGGAAACUGGGGCUAAUACCGGAUAGGAGCUCCUGCUGCAUGGUGGGGGUUGGAAAGUUUCGGCGGUUGGGGAUGGACUCGCGGCUUAUCAGCUUGUUGGUGGGGUAGUGGCUUACCAAGGCUGUGACGGGUAGCCGGCCUGAGAAGGUGACCGGCCACAAUGGGACUGAGAUACGGCCCAGACUCCUACGGGAGGCAGCAGUGGGGAAUAUUGCACAAUGGGCGGAAGCCUGAUGCAGCAACGCCGCGUGCGGGAUGACGGCCUUCGGGUUGUAAACCGCUUUCGCCUGGGACGAAGCGGGAGUGACGGUAAUGGGUAAAGAAGCACCGGCUAACUACGUG
rnacentral:rRNA from 1 species